rnacentral:rRNA from 1 species
AUGAAGACUCCCAUUGAAAUUCUCCUUAAUGAACAACCUGAUUAUACCUUUUUCAAGGUCUUUGGGUGUGCUUGCUGGCCGCAUCUUCGUCCAUAUAAUAAGCGCAAGCUUGAGUUUCGUUCUAAGAAGUGUGUUUUUCUUGGCUAUAGCUCUCUUCAUAAAGGUUACAAAUGUCUUCAUGUUCCCACUAAUCGUGUCUAUAUAUCUCGGGACGUCGUGUUUGAUGACCAUGUUUUUCCCUUUGCCAAACUUCCUGUGUCCACUGUUGAACCACCAUCUCUGCAUUCAUCCUCUGUUGCUUCUGACCAAUUUGAUGAUGUUGCAUACUCUCCUUUGUUGUUACCUAACCAUGGUGCAGGAACCGGGCGUGGGGCUCGUUUGGAGCUGUUGGAGGAUUCACCAUCAUCGUCGCCGCCUUCUGAUGGGCACGUCGAUCGCCCUAUGCAUGGCAUCGAUUCACGUGCCCAUGCAUGGUCACCCGAAGAGCCCGUCGCGCCGAGCAUCUCCACUGCUCGGUCCGCUAUGCCAGCGGCCGCCGAGUCUUCAGCGGCUCGGCCUGUCACGCCGGCUUCGCUCGCAGCUCGGCCCGUCACGUCGUCUUCGCCUGCGGCUCGGGUCCUCACGUCGCCUUCAUCCGCGGCUCGGCCCGCGACACCGGCCUCGCCCCUGCCCACUAUGCCGGGCUCGCCAUCGGCCCGGUCCGUGACGCCGGCAUCCCCAGCUGCUUCGUCAGCCCCGCCGGGUUCGCCUGUGGGCCGGCCUUCUUCGCCAACCGAGCCCGAGGCUACCGCGUCUGGCUCUGUGUCACCGGCUGACUCGUCAACGUCGCCGUCCUCCAGCCCGUUGCAGGCUGCUCCGUCGACCUCUGUGGUUCCUGUGUCCUGA